ACUGCUCAGUAACACGUGGCUAACCUACCCUUGAGACGGAGAUAACCCCGGGAAACUGGGGCUAAUCCCAGAUAGAUGAGAACUCCUGGAACGGGUUCUCGUCCAAAAGGCGUCUAGGCCAUGCUUCUAGAUGUUGCUCAAGGAUGGGGCCGCGGCCGAUCAGGCUGUUGGUGAGGCAACGGCUCACCAAACCUAUAACCGGUACGGGCCGUGGGAGCGGGAGCCCGGAGAUGGGAACUGAGACAAGGUCCCAGGCCCUACGGGGCGCAGCCGUUGCGAAAACUUGUCAAUGCACGAAAGUGUGAACGGGCUACCCCGAGUGCUGUCCGCUGAGGAUGGCUUUUCUCUGCUGUUAGAAGGCGGAGGAAUAAGGAGAGGGCAAGUCUGGUGUCAGCCGCCGCGGUAAUACCAGCUCUCCGAGUGGUGGGGAUGUUUAUUGGGCUUAAAGCGUCCGUAGCCUGCCCUUCAAGUCUCUCGUUAAAUCCGGCGAUUCAAUCGUUGGACUGCGGGAGAUACUGUUAGGCUAGGAGGCGGGAGAAGCCGACGGUAUUUCCGGGGUAGGGGUAAAAUCCUAUAAUCCCGGGAGGACCACCAGUGGCGUAGGCGGUCGGCUAGCACGCGCUCGACGGUGAGGGACGAAAGCUGGGGGAGCAAACCGGAUUAGAUACCCGGAUAGUCCCAGCUGUAAACGAUGCGGGCUAGGUGUUGGGGUGGCCACGAGCCACUUCAGUGCCGCAGGGAAGCCAUUAAGCCCGCCGCCUGGGGAGUACGGCCGCAAGGCUGAAACUUAAAGGAAUUGGCGGGGGAGCAC
rnacentral:rRNA from 1 species